CCCGCCCGUCACAUCACGAAAGUGGGUUGUACUAGAAGUCGCUGCGCUAACCGCAAGGAGGCAAGCGCCCAAGGUAUGACUCAUGAUUGGGGUG
rnacentral:rRNA from 1 species